rnacentral:tRNA from 1 species
GCCUGGGUGGCUCAGUUCGUUGAGCAUCUGACUUCAGCUCAGGUCAUGAUCUCGUGGUUUGUGAGUUCGAGCCCGCUUCAGGCU